AAUCCAUGGUAAGUGCACCUUCUCAAUAAAUCCUUGUAUCUCUUCCAUGCAUUAUAAAGUGUUUCUAAAUUCAUCUGUACAAAAGAAGAGAUAUCAUUCCUCAAUUU
rfam:Gossypium hirsutum cultivar TM-1 chromosome 20, whole genome shotgun sequence